UGGGGAAUAUUGCGCAAUGGGCAAAAGCCUGACGCAGCAACGCCGCGUGAGUGAUGAAGGCCUUCGGAUCGUAAACCCCUGUCGAAUGGGACGAAAGACUCGCGAGUGAAUACUUCGCGAGAGUGACGGUACCGUUAAAGGAAGCCACGGCUAACUCUGUGCCAGCAGCCGCGGUAAUACAGAGGUGGCAAGCGUUGUUCGGAAUUACUGGGCGUAAAGGGCGCGUAGGCGGCCCUCUAAGUCAGACGUGAAAUCCCCCGGCUUAACCUGGGAACUGCGUCUGAUACUGGAGGGCUUGAGUAUGGGAGAGGGAUGUAGAAUUCCAGGUGUAGCGGUGAAAUGCGUAGAUAUCUGGAGGAAUACCGGUGGCGAAGGCGGCAUCCUGGACCAUUACUGACGCUGAGGCGCGAAAGCUAGGGGAGCAAACGGGAUUAGAUACCCCCGUAGUCCCUGAGCGGGCUGGCAAGGCGCAU
rnacentral:rRNA from 1 species